GCUGUGGUGGUGUAGGGGUUAGCACGGGGGAUUGUGGUUCCCCCAGCCCGGGUUCAAUUCCCGGCCACGGCCCCA
rnacentral:tRNA from 4 species